ACCGAGCCCGCAGCGGCUGGGAGCCCCGCGCGGUCGAGGAGGGGCCGUGUGGGCGCGGAGGCUGCGCUGCCGGGUCUCCUGCCACCCGGCGCCGCGGAGACGAGGAGGGGAUGGGCCCGCAGCUGGAGACGCGCGUCCGCGGGAGGACGGCCCCGGGCGCCCGGCCGCGGGGCUCGGGAGGUCGCGAGGUGCUGCGAGUGCAGCCGCCGGCGGCAGGUGGUUGGCUCUCACAUCUCCCGCAGGUUCUUUGAACUCAGUAGAUUCAACCUGAACCCAGCUCUUCUGCAAAACCUGCACCUCCUACCAUGUUCUGGAUCCCUGAGAGCAACAUGGCCAUCCCCAGCCACCCAGGGGAGACGCCUGGCAGUCAAGGAGACGCCUCCACUUUCUUCAGCCACACCUUGGGAGCAGCAUCCAGAGAGUUCCACCUCUUUAGUCGCUGCAACGAAUGAAUGGGUUUGCAUCUCUCUCCUCGUCCCUGUCCCUCUGUCCCUGCUGCCACAUUCUUAGGUCAGGUUCUUACCUCCCAGCUGGAGGAUGGCAGUGGUCCUUAGGAAAACUGCACCUAGUAUUACCUCCUGAACUUCAGUCUUUCAAAAGCCCAGCACUGUGCAGACAAGUAAAGUGCAGGAGGCCCGUGACUCCCAGGGGUCCACCCAGAACUUCAGAGCUACACCUCCAAGCCCCUCUCCCCCAUCCCCUUGCCCAGCAUGUGGCUUGCUGCACCCCCUGUCACAUCCCACUGCUCUGCUCUGCAGUUACCUUCAAGGUUGAGAAGGUUUUCCUGGUCACCCAGGUUUUAGGCAAUUUUCAAAUUUCUCUCUUUCAUUUCCCUGAUGGUGUAUUUCAGACACUGUUUAUUCUCUCACAAUAUUUACUGGGUUCCUAUUCUUUGUCAGGCGUUACUCCAGUUGCUGGAGAUAGUUUCUUCUCAAGCUUAUACUGUUUAGCAGGGAAACGGACACAAAAUACAUGACAUGGCAGGCAGUGUUUCUGUGCCAAGGAGAAGAUAAAGUAGGUCAAGAGGGCAGGGAGUCCUGAUGUGGAAGCAGGGUACAGGUGUAGGUAGGUUGGUUGAAUUUAAAUUAAAAUAAUUGAAUUUAAAUUUAAAAAACCCGGCCUGUCUGGUGGGUUUUGUUCGAGCAGAGAACUGGUGUUGUGGAGGGGCAAGCAGGCAGCUCUCCCCAGAAGGAAUGUUCUAGGGAGAAGAAAUGGUGAGUGCGGAGACCUGGAGGCAGGGCUGUGUGGGGCCCGCUCCAGGGCCUGGGCAGCGGGGGUCCCCAUAGUCUUCACAAAUGUUCCUCCUUUGUAUUCCUUUCAAUAACAACAACAAUGUCAUCCAUUCAUUGAAA